AAUGAAGUGGCUGAGGUUAAGCGGUGGGCUGUAAACCUAUUUACAAGUGUAUACUUCUUCAUUA
rnacentral:tRNA from 1 species